rnacentral:rRNA from 1 species
CCAGCUCUCCGAGUGGUGGGGACUAUUAUUUGGCCUAAAGCGUUCGUAGCCUGUCCAGUAAGUCUUCUGUUAAAUCCAACGAUCCAAUCGUUGGGCUGCGGGAGAUACUAAAGGACUAGGGGGCGGAAGAAGCCGACGGUACUCCUGGGGUAGGGGUGAAAUCCUAUAAUCCUAGGCGGACCACCAGUGGCGAAGG